rnacentral:rRNA from 1 species
GAUGAACGCUGGCGGCGUGCCUAAUACAUGCAAGUCGAGCGAACAGACGAGGAGCUUGCUCCUUUGACGUUAGCGGCGGACGGGUGAGUAACACGUGGAUAACCUACCUAUAAGACUGGGAUAACUUCGGGAAACCGGAGCUAAUACCGGAUAACAUGUUGAACCGCAUGGUUCAACAGCGAAAGACGGUCUUGCUGUCACUUAUAGAUGGAUCCGCGCCGCAUUAGCUAGUUGGUAAGGUAACGGCUUACCAAGGCAACGAUGCGUAGCCGACCUGAGAGGGUGAUCGGCCACACUGGAACUGAGACACGGUCCAGACUCCUACGGGAGGCAGCAGUAGGGAAUCUUCCGCAAUGGGCGAAAGCCUGACGGAGCAACGCCGCGUGAGUGAAGAAGGUCUUCGGAUCGUAAAACUCUGUUAUUAGGGAAGAACAAAUGUGUAAGUAACUAUGCACGUCUUGACGGUACCUAAUCAGAAAGCCACGGCUAACUACGUG